UACGUAGGGGGCAAGCGUUGUCCGGAAUCAUUGGGCGUAAAGAGCGUGUAGGCGGCUCGGUAAGUCCGCUGUGAAAGUCCAGGGCUCAACCCUGGAAUGCCGGUGGAAACUGUCGAGCUAGAGUCCGGAAGAGGCGAGUGGAAUUCCCGGUGUAGCGGUGAAAUGCGCAGAUAUCGGGAGGAACACCAAUGCGAAGGCAGCUCGCUGGGACGGUACUGACGCUGAGGCGCGAAAGCGUGGGGAGCAAACAGGG
rnacentral:rRNA from 1 species